GAUGAACGCUGGCGGCGUGCCUAAUACAUGCAAGUCGAGCGAACGGACGAGAAUCUUGCUUCUCUGAUGUUAGCGGCGGACGUGUGAGUAACACGUGGAUAACCUACCUAUAAUACUGGGAUAACUUCGGGAAACCGUAUCUAAUACCGGAUAAUAUUUUGAACCGCAUGGUUCAAAAGUGAAAGACGGUCUUUCUGUCACUUAUAGAUGGAUCCGCGCUUCAUUAUCUAGUUGGUAAGGUAACGGCUUACCAAGGCAACGAGGCAUAACCGACCUGAGAGGGUGAUCGGCCACACUGGAACUGAGACACGGUCCAGACUCCUACGGGACGAAGCAGUAGGGAAUCUUCCGCAAUGGGCGAAAGCCUGACGGAGCAACGCCGAGUGAGUGAUGAAGGUCUUCGGAUCGUAAAACUCUGUUAUUAGGGAAGAACAUAUGUGUAAGUAAAUGUGCACAUCUUGACGGUACCUAAUCAGAAAGCCACGGCUAACUACGUG
rnacentral:rRNA from 1 species